rnacentral:rRNA from 1 species
GACAGAGGAGGCAAGCGUUAUCCGGAAUGAUUGGGCGUAAAGCGUCUGUAGGGGGUUUAUCAAGUCUUCUGUCAAAGAUCAGGGCUUAACUCUGGGCAGGCAGGAGAAACUAGUAGACUAGAGUUCGGUAGGGGCAGAGGGAAUUCCCGGUGUAGCGGUGAAAUGCGUAGAGAUCGGGAGGAACACCUAAGGCGAAAGCACUCAGCUGGGCCUUAACUGACGCUGAGAGACGAAAGCUAGGGGAGCAAAUGGG